GCAUUCGGUCAUAGCACCCUGGAAGCGCCCGAUCUCGUUUAAUGUCGGAAUCUAAGCAGGGACGGACUUGGUUAGUACCUGGAUGGGAGUCCGCCUGGGAAUUCCAGGUGUUGUAGGCU
rnacentral:rRNA from 1 species